AAAUGACAGAGUGGUCGAAUGUGUCAUACUUGAAAUAUGAUGUGCCUUCUCGGUACCAUAGGUUCGAAUCCUAUUUUAUCCG